GCCCGAGAUCAGCCUUCGUUCGCUACUUGUGCAGGAGAAAAUGAGGUGGAAUGAGGGCAAAAUGAUGGGGUGCAAAGAGCAAGUGGAAUUUCAGGGUUGGGGAGAGAAGAGGCAGUGCGUGUGUGCGUGGGGGUCAAUCGUUUUGCCAAUAAUACCAGCCAGAGUGCAGGGACAUCCUAGUCGGCUGGCCUCCCAGCGAAGGGGGCAGGGGGCCGAACCCCUCUGAAAGGAGAGGGGUGCUCUGGGCAACCCUAAGGGAGAGUGAGGCCCACAGCCCCCAACAAGAGCAGCUGUGCGGAGGGCAGCAGAAGUGGGAGGCACGUUUGACUGAGAGAAGAGGCAAGGCUGGUGAGACAGACAUGCUGCUGCUCUCCACCCUCAGAGAGGAUGCCCAGCUCCACCUGGCCAGGCUUCAGGAGCUGGAAGAGUAAAUAGAGGAAGGGGCAUCCACCUCCUCCACAUCCAGCCUAUUACUAGAUACUUCAUUUUCAUCUGUUCAUCAUUUUGAAAAGAUGAGCCCUUCAUGGUCUUUGACUGUCACCAUCUGUCUGGGCAAAAACGGUUUUUCCUCGUCUCGGAUUGGAAGGGAAUAUCAUCGGAAUCACCAAAGCAGACUCAGUUCUUCCUCUAUAGACUGUGCCCCAGGCGAGUCACACCACACCUGUCGUGCAGGAUUCUGCUACCCAGUGUAGAAGGUGCGUCCCCAGCUGCUCCCCUUGAGCCCUUUGUGCUCCGUGCACAGCCCACCCAGGAAAGAAGACACAACUGUUUCCUGUCUGCUCCCCAGGAUGCAGCUAUUCUGGAUGCUCAGAAAGCCACAGCAGCAUGUGCCAGCUCUGCCCUUGACCUCCUCCAGUAAAGAUGCUGGGGGUUAACAGUAAGGUUUCCAGUAUGCCUCAGGCCUCCCCAACUGGGGGCAGCCUUUCCCUGAGGCCACACUGCAGCAGGACAGCCUGUCCUUUCCAUUUUG